UACGGAGGGUGCGAGCGUUGUCCGGAAUCACUGGGCGUAAAGGGCGCGUAGGCGGCCUGAUAAGUAGGGGGGUGAAAUCCUGCGGCUUAACCGCAGGGCUGCCUUCUAAACUGUCAGGCUCGAGCACAGUAGAGGCAGGUGGAAUUCCCGGUGUAGCGGUGGAAUGCGUAGAGAUCGGGAAGAACAUCAGUGGCGAAGGCGGCCUGCUGGGCUGUUGCUGACGCUGGAGGCGCGACAGCGUGGGGGAGCAAACAGG
rnacentral:rRNA from 1 species